AGAAUCAACGCUGGCGGCGUGCCUAACACAUGCAAGUCGAACGCGAAAGGGGAGCAAUCCCUGAUUAGAGUGGCAAACGGGUGAGUAACACGUGGGCGACCUACCUCAGAGUGGGGGAUAACCUUCCGAAAGGAGGGCUAAUACCGCAUGACAUGCCGUGUUUGGAUACACGGACAUCAAAGCCGGGGAUCGCAAGACCUGGCGCUUGGAGAGGGGCCCGCGUCCGAUUAGCUAGUUGGUGAGGUAACGGCUCACCAAGGCUCCGAU
rnacentral:rRNA from 1 species